rnacentral:rRNA from 1 species
CGGGCACUUCGGUGUCAGCGGCGGACGGGUGAGUAACGCGUGGGAACGUGCCUUCUGGUUCGGAAUAACUCAGGGAAACUUGAGCUAAUACCGGAUACGCCCUUUUGGGGAAAGGUUUACUGCCGGAAGAUCGGCCCGCGUCUGAUUAGCUAGUUGGUGGGGUAAUGGCCUACCAAGGCGACGAUCAGUAGCUGGUCUGAGAGGAUGAUCAGCCACACUGGGACUGAGACACGGCCCAG